CGUGUCAGUGGGAUACUUGUCUCAUUCACCGCAGAAGAUGGGUACUGAAUCAGGCAAAGGUCUACAGAAAGCCUACUGUCACUAUCAACAGCCAUUAAUGCUAGACCCUCAAAAAUUUCAGACAAAUGCAGUGUUGCAGAUUUGCUAUCUAAUG